GCAAAUCCUUUGGAAAAAUCAACACGGGCGCUCACUCGGGCAGUGGAGCGUUGGAGACAAAGGGAGUCCGAGGAGCCACAGCGUUCCGAUGGGCAGUCGUUGACGCACAGACAAGACAGAUGGGAUCCGACGGCGGCGGGUCCAGAUCUGUUCUGGAACAGGGGCGCCGAAGACUUAGGGUGCGUUUGGUUUCUUAGCAAAAGUCGUUUUUGCCUUGCUGGCUAGGCUUGCCCUUUGGUAGUGCAAAUAUAUCCUAGAUUUUGGGGGCAGCUAGCCUCGCUCGGCUAGAAAAUCCUCGCUCGCGGGGAGAGCCGAUUCGGCUCGCCCUCGACGGCAAAGCCGGAACGCGCGAAAAAAUCUAGGCGGAACUCUCCGGAUGGAUAAGUCCGUCUGCAACAAAUCCCUAAAUCUACGUUCUCCACUCCGACCUCCUCCUCUACUUUCCCCUCCGAUUUUUGCUCAUCCCAAUGAAAUCCUCCGAAGCUGCAGAGAUAAAUCGAGCGAGUUGGCUCAAGUUGCUUUCCACGAUUAGCUGAAGGCGCAUCAGAUUUGACAGGGAAAGCUUACAUCCGCCUUGCUCAAGUCUGCGUCCGCCCCCAUCCGCCUUGCUCAGGUCUAUGUCCGCCUCAUCUCUUGAUUCUCCUGUGUAUGUGUGUGCACUUUUCUUGACAAUAGAUUAGCUGGUUCAGAAAUUGAUUAGUACUAGAAGCAACAAAUCGUAAAUACUAUCUUUCUAUACUCCCCGUCAUCUUAUCCAAGGCUGGAUUCUUGUUGGGUGACCUGGCUUCGGGAUUAGAUUGGUACGGCUAAGGUGAUAGCAAACUGUAGUAUAAUGCCACUGUGGCGUUGCGGUUGGGAAGGAUACUGUUGUUGACAGGCACCCAGCUCUUGAUUUUUAUUCCAAACCAGACUCCAAUUAAGUAGCUUAUAGGAGUGCAUGACAGGAAUUGAUUUUACUGGAACAUGUAUGAUGCAUCUGCAUCUGAAUCCUUAAUUUGGUUUGUACUGAAUAUGCAUACAGAGCUAUCUACAUAGCAGGCAUCUGAACUGAUUCAUUAGUUCUGCGUAUGUAUUUUCUAGUGCCUACAUCUUAUUUUCAUUUAUAUCAACAAAGGUUUGUCUACGGUAGUCCUGGACUGUGUAUAUACUACGUGUUGUGUGGGUUAUUAAUAUUUGAUCUUCUUUGAUUUAUUUAUAGAUGGACGACAGUGCGCAAAUUAACAGAAAAAUUGCGUUCUUCAGUGCUUUUGUAGUGGCAUAUUGUUCAUUGAUCAUAUAUCUAAGCAACUCUAGUCACCCUACAAGAUACUCAUUAUUAGAGAGAAAUAAAUAAAGAAUGGCGUAUCUACGAAAAUUGUAUUGCGGUGAGGAGAAACACUGCAUUGGUGAAUUGCGCAUGGGAAAAUCAGUGUUCUUCAAACUAUGUGAUAAAUUACGGAGUAUGGGUCCACUUAAAGAUACAUGGCAUUGUACUGUAUAGGAGCAAGUUGCCAUGUUCCUCACUACAGUAGGGCAUCAUAAGAAAAAUAUCGACAUUAGUUUCUAUUUCACAAGGUCAGGUGAGACAGUGAGUCGUUACUUCAACAGAGUUUUAUUUGCAAUUGGGAAACUUGGACCAGAAAUGCUUAGGCAUCGAACAAUUGAUACACCAUCAAAGAUUGAAGGCAACCCACGAUUUGAUCCGUAUUUUAAGGACUGUAUUGGUGCUAUUGAUGGUACACAUGUUCCAUGUAAUGUUCCAUCUCGGAUAGUCGACAGAUUUCGUGGCAGGAAACCAUUCCCUACCCAAAAUGUUCUUGCGGCGGUCGACUUUGAUUUGUUAUUCACUUAUGUUUGUGCGGGCUAGGAGGGUUCGUCCCACGAUUCAACUGUUUUACGACAUUCUCUUGAGCAUCCAAAUGGCCUUAGAGUCACUGAAGGUAAAUACUAUCUUGCGGAUGCGGGUUAUGCAGCUAGGAGAGGAUUCCUACCACCGUUCCGUCAAACUCAAUAUCAUUUGCGUGAAUGGAGGGGUAAUAAUAGACCCCGCACCCAGAAUGAGCUAUUCAACUUAAGGCACUCAUCCCUUCGUACUACCGUUGAAAGGCAUUUGGAACAUUAAAGAACCGUUUCAAAGUUCUGACAACUAGGCCUUACUAUCCCUUUCCUUCACAAGUAUGAGUCGUCAUAGCAUGUUGUAUCCUUCACAACUGGAUAUUACUAAACGGGGGUCCUGAUGAACUAGUCUACAUUGAGCACAACUGGUUUGAGCAAUAUCCAAGAUCAGCUGGCCGUGUCCAACGGGAUUUACGUGAGGAACAAAUGGAGGUACUUAGAGAUAGGGAUACCAUGGCGGCCAAUAUGUGGAGAAAUAGGCAUAAUGUUAAACGUGGUUGAUUUUUUUCAAGCUUUAUGUAUGAGUUCUUGAUUUUAAGUUGUAUUACCACUUAGAAGAACAACUUGUGUGUUUUCUUUCUUCAACUUGUAACUAUGAUUUAUUUCC